AAAAGUCAGUUUUUAUAAAAUUUCAUGUAACCAUUUUUAAAACAAUCCACUAAAUCAUUUUAAUCUUAAAAAACAUUCAUUUAGUCGAUCAUAACCAAAGUUAUACUUUUAAAACAUAUCUCAUGCUGAUUUUUAACAAAAUAAUACAGAUACAAAAUGGAAUUGACCGAUAAUAUCGAAAACUCAGAUUCAAAGAUAUUGACUUUUAGUUCUCAUACCUCUUCAGACUGUGGAAAUGGAGACUUCGAUAUGGAUGAUAUUGCUAAUAUCAGGGAGCUUUCAAACCAAACUAGUUAUAUGCGUCCCCGGUCUACCAAGGAAUUUGAAGACGAACUUUCCAACCUCAAAAAGGAAAAUUUUAAUCUUAAACUAAGGAUAUAUUUUUUAGAAGAAAAGAUGGGAAGCAGUUUUACAUUAGAUAAAGAUAAUAUGGUGAAGCAAUAUAUAGAAUUGCAAGUAAGCUAUGCUAACCUAAAAGAAGAGCUUGAAGAAAAACAACAUCUUUUAUGUCAAGCUGUUACAGCUAUAGAGAUAGAUGACAAAGAACAUAAAAAAUAUGUAGCUAAUAAAGAUGAGCAAAUAUUCAAGUUACAACAAGAAAUAGAAAAGCUUAGGACUCAAUUGCAAGAUACAAAGUACGAAAUCGAUAGUGGGUAUUUUAGCAGUAAUACUACAAACAAUAUGAAUAACGAACUUGAACAAAAAAUGAAAAUACUAGAACAAGAACUUCAAUCAGAAAAAGACAAUAAUAUUUCCUUGCAGUUUGUAAUCAGUCAAAUUGAAACUUUUAAAAGUCGUUGUGACAAUAUGCAAAAGGAACUUCAAGCUAAAGAGGCAAUAUUAGAAACCCUAAAAACUGAAAAUACAGCCUUAAAUUCUAGAAUUUCAGCAUACUCCAUUCAGAUGAAAGAUACUCAACAAAAACUGGAGUUUACAUGUAAAGAAAACCAAAAAUUGACAACAAAGAUUAUUUUAGAACACCAAAAAUUUGAUGAACUAUUAUCGAAUUAUAAAGAACUUAAUAGUAAAUACAAUUACACUAAAGCAGGACUCGAAAGAGAACACAAAGAAUUUGAAACUAUGAAAUUAGAAUAUGACAAAAAAAUAUGCGAAUUAGAAAAAGAAAAUAGUAAACUUAGGUUGAAAAUUAGAGACCUGCGAUUAAAAUUGGAUGCGGCGUUAACAGAAAUUAAGAAAAAUCAAACUCUAGCAUUUAGAACUCAACAACACCUACAAGAAUUAAGAAAAAGAACACAUUACAUGUACAAGUAAAUUUUUGACUUACCCACUCAAGUCACUCAAGUAACUACCAACAGUCUGACUACAGAGAUAAUCGACCAUAUUGUGAACCCCUUAAAUAUUGUACAGAUCAAUAUCCUUAUGAACAAGAAAGUGUUAUUUGCCCAGCAGUAUCAGCACAACACCAAACACAAUUGCCAAUAACAUAUCAA